AUGCCUCUGCGCGUGCUCGCCGGUAUUAAUACCCCAGAGCCCACUGCAACCUCCACCCAUCCGACCACAUUCAAGUGGAUGCUCCUCGAUCUCCAUCACUACAGCCCACUUGAGUUCUUGAAGCUUCGAAGCUCACCUAGCUCGCCGCGGGCCAUGUCGAGCGCCGGCAAGAAGCAGCAGCAGCAGCAGGCGAAGAAGCCGGCGGCGGCGGAGGACAUCGAGAUCAAGAAGGUCUUCUCCCGCUUCGACACGGACGGCGACGGCCGGAUCUCGCCGUCGGAGCUGGCCGCGGUGUCACGCGCCAUCGCGCCCCCCGCCGCCACCGACUCCUCCGCGCAGGGCCGCGAGGUGGCCUCCAUGAUGGACGAGCUCGACACCGACCGCGACGGCUACGUCGACCUCGGCGAGUUCGCGGCCUUCCACGGCCGCGGCCGCGGGGAGCGCGAGCUGGACGCCGAGCUGCGCGACGCCUUCGACAUCUACGACAUCAACGGCGACGGCCGCAUCUCCGUCGCCGAGCUCAGCAAGGUCCUCAGCCGCAUCGGCGAGGGAUGCAGCACCGAGGACUGCGAGAAGAUGAUCGCCUCCGUCGACGUCGACGGCGACGGCUGCGUCGGGUUCGAGGAGUUCAAGAAGAUGAUGACCGCCGGUGACGCCAGCGCCCGACCCGAAGCAGCGACCGGCGCCGCUGACAACAACAAAGCCAAGAAGGAGUAG
rnacentral:rRNA from 1 species